CGAGGCAAAUGCCACUGCGACAAGUAAUUAAUAUCGAUGCCAAAAAGAAAAAUUUAAAUUUAUUAUUCUUUACGAAUUGUUUGUGUUUCGUGUAUUCGUUUAGUGUCUUUCGGAACGCGUCGGUCGAAGGUUCAACAUGAUCUCCAGCUCUGAGGGAACUAACUUGGUAGCCACCUAUUGUAUUCUACUUUUACUGCUGAUAUCCCUCUGGCUCCUGUAUUCGGCAUUUUAAACAAUGCGGUCAGGAUUAAGACACCGUAAGAGUCCAAGCAAAGAUGGCGGAAAAAAACUAACGCUAUGAAAACAAUUUAAUUUUAAGAAACCGUAAUUUUAGUGAAUAAGUUAAUAAUAAUUUAAGCAUCGUUAUACUCCCAAGCAUUUAAUCACUUCGAAUUUUGGAACAUCUGCUGAAAGAAGCUCAACGUUACUGUAAAUGUAAGCAAUUUUUGUGAAAGCAAAACACCAAAUUCAGUGCUGGGCAUUCCAAUGUUAAAAAAAAAACCAAAAAAAAAAAACUAAAAAUGUAAACUAACGCGAGAAAGACAACUAUAUAAAAUGCCAAAUUAACUUCAAAUAUUAAUUUAAUA